rnacentral:lncRNA from 1 species
UUCGAGCCUUCUCGCUGAUUAUCGUUACUUGUAAGUGUCAAAUGAACAUUGACCCGAUUUUAAGCAUCAAUGAGUGUUUACACCGAUCAGUGUGGGUGGACGGUACUUUCACUUGGUGACUCCGAGGUGGAUUAGCAUUCAGCUCGGCGACUCGGAUCUCGCCGCGAUAUCGGCAGCCGCAGCCUCCGGUGUCAACACAAAAACUUCAUUUUCAAUUCAUCUUCCGCAUUUCCAGAUGUUGGGGAUACUCUGAACUUCGCCUCGGCUCACAAAAGUAAGUCCUUUCUUUAACUCCGAAAGGGUCGUAUUCAUUGCAGGGUAUCGAUUCGAUCACCGUGCGUCGAACGAAAAAUGAGAACGCGAGUCGAUCAACG